CCUAAGUGCAGUUUUAGCACUGUUCAUGUCCAACGUUUGAUCAUUCGUCUUAUAUAAAAAAAAGAUUAUGAUUAGUAUUUUUAUUUUUAUUAGAUAUAAAACAUGAAUAGUACUUUAUGUGUGACUAAUUUUUUUAAUAUUUCUCAUAAAAUUUUUAAAUUAGAUGGAUGGUCAAAUCGCUUAGCACGUAUAUGUAUGGACGGAGGUAGU
rnacentral:pre_miRNA from 1 species